rnacentral:lncRNA from 1 species
NCUCCCACUGCUUGGGAGCUUAUGGUUUCAUAUUCUAUUUCACUCCUCGAUGGGAGUUCUUUUCACCCUUCCGUCAUAGUACUACUUCGCUAUCUGUCACCCAGGAGUAUUUAGCCUUGCAAGGUCAUCCUUGAUGCUUCACACGGGAUUCCACGUGUCCCGUGCUACUCGGGUCAGAGAGUAAGCUAGUUAUGCUUUCGACUUUGGACUUUCGCCAUCUAGGAUGCAACAUUCGUGCUGCUUCGCCUAGUAGCACGAUGCUUGUAUUGCUUUCCCACAACCCCGUUCACGGUUUAGCUACUCCCAUUUCGUUUGCCACUAUUAAGGAAAUCGCUUUUGCUUUGUUUUUCCUUAGCUACUAAGAUGUUUCAGUUCGCCAAGUUAUCUCUUGCCUGUCUAUAGAUUCAGCAGCAGUUCAAAAGGUUGCCCUAUUCGAAAAUCUCCUGAUCUAUGCUUAUUCUCAACUCCCCGAAGCAUUUCUUCGAUUACUACACCCUUUCUCAUCUCUGAGUGCCUAGGUAUCCACCGUAAGCCUUUCCUCGUUUGAACCUCACCUUUCCAAGGCUAUGCUAUCCUAAGAUGCUGCUAAAUGGAUGAAUUUUAUCAAUGUCCAUGAAUGAUAAAUCAUAGAUCGAAUCGUCGAAUUGGAGAAAUUGGGUGCUAUCAUAUAGCUUUGUAUCAGCUAAGUUCAUGAGUUCGAGAUAAGCAAACUCGAAUAGCUGACAUCCGUCCCAGGGUAAACUACUACCUCUCGAAGCGGAAGCAAGAAUUUCGGCUUGAGUAACGCAAACGUUGGUGAGAAUCCAAUGCCCCAAAAACCUAAGGGUUCCUCCUUAAAAUUCAUCA